GUGCCGAGUCCCGACCAGGGGCAGCCUCGCCGCCGCUCAGCUCGGGAAUCCCUGCCCCCCACCAGCACCUCAGUGGAGGAUACUGCAAGUUCAAGGUAAGUUUAGCCCCAUGCCCGGCUGCCGGGGCUUUGUUGCAGAGCGGCAGGUGAAUCGCGCCCCCCACCCAGCCCCGAAGCCCCCAUGCCAUCCACUGCCCGCGUGGGGGGCGGCUGCUUUCUUGCAAAAUGCCCGCAAGUCAAAGUUCCUGCCUCCCAGCUGGACGCGCCCUCCCGGCCCUGCCGGCUGCUGGCUCUGCAGUUUUCCAAAUGUGGAUGAUGCCACGAGCCAAGAGAAAACUCCACGGCACCCCCGCCGGAGCCGCACGGCGCUGGCACCCACACGGCGCCGGCACCCGCAGCACCCACCUCGCCGGCAGGCACACCCCCACCGCGGUGCCCGGCAAGUUUGCAGGGGCCGUCCCGGCGGCCCAGCGGUGGUGAUGGGCUGAGCAGGACUCACCGCGGAGCCCAGGGCACCCCUGGGGCCGGGCUGGUGACAGCGGCAGCAGCGGCGGGCGCAGGGUCGCGGCUCCCUAGGAGACGCUGCAGCGGCGGCAGCACCAGCCACCUCCUCCGGGAGCCAAUCGCGAAUGCAGGGGUGGGGGCCGAAGCUCGAUGCGUCCGCACUUGGUGGGGGCAGAGAGAGAAAGAAGACACCAGGCACCCCCUCUCCACACCCCUGCCCUUCCCCCAGCCCUCCUGCAGCAGCGCAGACUUAGCAGGAGGGAGAUCUUGAGAGAGAGAGAGAGAGAGAGAGAGAGAGAGAGAGAGAGAGAGAAGAGAGAGACGGCGCUGGUGCAGAGUUAGGGAGAGGCGGCCGAGCUGCACACCUUGAGCCCCGGCCUCCUCCGAAGGGAGCCCCCGCACCCCAGCGGGGUCAGCACAAGGUUGAGAAGGUAGAGGUCAGCGUUGAACAAAAGGGAAGGUCCCGCGGGUGUGCACGCUCUCGCAGGCACACAGCCGGCUCGCGGAGACACAGGGGCGGGGGAGGGGAGGGGAGGGGAGGGCCUGACCUGAGAGGCCAGAGCGGGCGUGGGGGCCCCCCUCGGGUCAGGAGCCGGCCUCACCUUUGCAGUUCUUAUAUACCCGGCCAAGCAUCCCAAACACGCGGCCCUGGCCAAGUGGCCCCCUCGGGCUGCGCUCCCUGACCAUAUUUAGUCAAGCAGGGGAAAAAAUAGCCUGUCAGCUGGGCCGCGGCUGGCCCGGCCACCGGGAACAGGGUGGGAGCACCCACGCCAUUGACGGCGGGUCCCGGGCUCAGGCUGCUGUCCUGCCCCUCCCGGCCCCUCCCUGACAGGCCUCCCACCGGCUGUCCCUGCCCGAGAUCCCCCCGCUAUUUUUAGCCCAGCCAGUAAAGAGGCGCCUCCUCGGUAGCCGGGCAGCAGCCUCCAUGCCACGCCAGCCGGCUCCUAGGGUGCCCUGGGGAGACCCGGGCAUCUCCCAGGCUGCAGGGCCAGGGGUGGGGGGGGGGGCGGGCAGAAUGGUACGGCCUCAUUCACUGCUCUGAGCCUCCAGUGGGCUGAGCCCACCCAGGCCACCAGGAAUGGGUGGCCCCCUCCACAGUCCCGUCGGCUCUGCCCUUUUGCCUAGAAUUGGGGCCAGGAUCAGGUGGUGACGGAGCCACCUGGGUUUCCGGAGACUCUCAAGCCAACCCCAAGUCAUGACAAAUGCCAGUCGCCUUGGACAGAAGCAGGCCAACCUGCUUGCCGCCCCCAGCCAGGCCCUGCCACCAAGGGUGUGUGAUGGGGAGACCCCAAUCCCAGGGCCUGGACGCAGAGACCAGAGGCCUGAACUGGCAGACUGUCCUCACAGGCUGUGUGACGCUGGCUGGUCGUCCCAUCUCUCUGGGGCCCCACAGGACUGGGGACCAGGUCGUGGAAUGACAGUGGACCACAGUGGUCCGGGGACCCCGCUCGUUGGUGGCAGGCACAGGCCCGUGUGAUGGGGACAAUGAGCUUUGGUAUUUGUUCACCUCCUGGGCUCACGGCCCCUUCCCCACAUCCCAAGGCCGGCUCUGCAGAGUCAUGGGGAGAAGAAGCCGGAGCCCCAGCCACACUCGCCACACACGCCGACACCCACUCUGGUGUCCUCCGGCCAGCGACAGCGAGGGACAGAGGGAUGCCCCCUGCACCUGCCCAGUGCAGAGGCUUCUUGAGUGAUGCCAGGCCCUUCUCCCAGCCCUGUACGCCCCGCUAAGGACUCCGGGUCUCACUAUAAAGGAGGCCAGGAGGUUUUAAGCUUCUACCUGGUCUGAGCACUUUUCUGGAAACUAAAUAGCCACUCGGCUUCCCACUGGCAGCGGGAGAGCGUGGUGUGAGGUGCGGUGUCCAAACUCCCCCUGCAAGGCCCCUCCCCUGCAGCCCACUUUCUCCUGCCUGCCGUCUCCAGGCAUGGUUGAGUGGGGCAGGCCAGGCCUGCAGCUGGGGUCAGGGGCAUAGACAGCCACAGUGGGGGAGGUGGGGAGCAGUCUGCAGGCCUGGGCAGGCGGCUCUGUAAAGGAUGCGGGUGCUCUGUGGUGGUGAGAGAGAGGGUGUGCAGCGGACGUGGCCAUAAAUCACCCUCCUCACGGCAGCCCCACACCCACGGACCAGGGCACGGGCACAGGGCCAUCUCCUUCCAGGAGAAGGGCUGGUGUGGGUGGCCAGAUCUGAUGGCCCCCAGGCCGUAGGACAGAGCCAGAAGACAGAGCAGUUCCCCCGUUUACCCAUAGCACCAGCCUCACAGUAACAGCCGGCACACAGCACUUAGGCUGCCUGGUGUUCCAGAAGCUUCUGCAGGGGCCCUAUGCUGCACUCAAGGCAUCCCUAAGAGGAGAGCAUUUUGCUGUCCCCACUUUACCGAGAAGGAACCUGGGCUCAGGGUGGUUUCAGGCGUGAAUGAAUGAAGGAGCAAGCAGUAAGCCCCGACAGCAAGGCCACCACAGCCCUCGCCCCACAGGGACGCCUGAGCAAGGACCCAAGCAGGGGACAAGCAGGCUCACCCCGCCCUUGCGGGGCUAACCACGAGGCCUCGUCCGGUGGAACACGCCAUGACGCUUCAGAAGGCUCAUGUAGCUGGCGCCGUAUGGGACAGCGGGGGAGAGAGAAAAUGCACAGCCCAGGGAAUGUGGAGACAGGCCCAGCGCCAGGCAUGGGGGCUGGAAGGAGCAGCCGGGGAGCAGGGGGCAGGGCCUGGAGUCCCGCCUUGCAGAUCUGAACCUGCCCCAGCCUCAGGACUCUGAGUGCAGCCAGAGGGGAGCCGGGCUGGAGAGUGGGGAGCACGGAGACUGUGACCUGGAUGGUGCCAGAGCGAACAGGAGAGAGGCUGCCCCACGCAGAGGCUGCGGCACAGCCCAGAGGGUCCCGGGGCUGACUGGGUGGGGGCAGCUCCCAGCGAGAGGCCCCUGGGAUUUGGGUAAGUAGAGGCACAUGCAGACUCUGGCCACAGGGCACCUCGCGCACGAGGGGAGUUCACCACACAAGCUGAGCGGAGGGCGGACGCAGGAGAGCAGCGGUGUCUCGGAAGCCAAGGGCGGUCAUGGAGCCCCACGCCACAGCGCUUCCCACAGGGCCACACCAUCCGGUCUGCGGAGGGGGCUGCAUUGCCGGGAAGGACCAUCUGAUUCUGGAUUCCAGCCUCACCCUGGGCCACCGCUGAGUGUCCCAAGUGGCCCCUUAGCCCCCAGGGCCAGGCGGCAUCCCAAUCCCCUAGGGAUGUCUGUGCUCAGAAUGUGGCACACACGCCCCGGCAGGGCCAUCCUCCUCCUCCUGCACCCGCCACAGCCGUGGGUUCGGGGUCUCUGUCGUGGGCAGAAAUUCACACAGUCAAGGUGAGGGUCCCAGGAGCAGCUGUGACCAGGCCCUGGCUGCCAGGGAGAGGGGGUCUUCAGCCGACGGGGCAGACACCCUGAGAUGGACCCUCGUCCAGGGGAGGGCCCUGCCACCCACAAUUCCUUGGCAUUCCUGCACCAGCCGGACGGGCUGAGGGAGGCGCCUCGCCAGUGUCAGUGCCCGGCAUCACUGUGCCCCGGUGGAGGGGGAGGCUCUUCCGAGCCUGGGCCUGGGUGUGGAUGAGGGCAGGUUUCUCACCUCUCUGACCUCAGCUUCCUCAACUGGGAAGGGGGGCCGCAGCACCCCCUUAGGGGUGAUGAGGAAGUGGGAGCUCAGGGAGGACCCCGGGCAGGGCUGCCUCCUCACCUCUCUUCAGCCUUUGGCCACUGGAGCUCAGAGGACCAAGUGAAUGAAUGAAUGACUCAAUCAAUCAACUGAUCCAUCAAUCCAUGGACCCCUGAACAGCUGGACAGCUGGGCUGUGGGCAGGACAGGGGACUCUGACUGAAGCCGCGUUCAUAUGUGUUCAGCUUUAGGCCUCCACUGUGCCCGGACCAGCGGCCCACUCAGUGAGUCGAGUGUGCACCUGGCACCCCUCUUUCUGGAAAUCCACGAACAAUGGACUCCCAGCAGAGGACUGAGGCUGAGCAGGCCACUUACCUGGAGCUGACCCCACAGCUGUGUAGGUACAGGGUGGCCGUGAACACUUAGGGCUCUCUCAGGCUGUGCACUUCUUGUUCACCGCAGGAAGCAGGGUGUUGGCUCCUGACCAAGCCCUGUCACUGCUGCCCAGCCACACGUGGGGCCCCCUUCACCCACCCCUGACCACCUCAUGCAGGUGAAGCCACUGUGGAAACAGCCUGGCAGUCCCUUGAAAAAUGAAGUCAUAAACCCCAGCAAUUGCGCUCCUGGGCCUCUGACAGAGCUUGCACGUCCCCCCAAAGCUCAUGUUUAGCUGUGAGCCCCAGUGCUGGAGGUGGGGCCUGGUGUGUUUGGGUUCUGGGGGUGGAUCCCUCAUGGCUGGGUGCCAUGAACCCACUCACCACAGUGAGUUCUCACGAGAUCCGGUUGUUGAGAAGUGUGUCGUACCUCCCCCACAACUCUCUGUCUUUUGUUCCGGCUCUGGCCAUGUAACAAGCCUGCUCCUCCUUCACCUUCUGCCAUGACUGUAAGCUUUCUGAGGGCUGACCAGAAGCCCAGCAGAUGCCAGCAUCAUGCUUCCUAUACAGCCUGCAGAACCACAAGCCAGCUAAACCUCUCCUCAUAAAUCACCGAGCCCCAGGUUUAUCUUUACAGCAAUGCAAGACCUGACUAAUACAGCACAAGCUCCCCAAAAUAAAAAGAAAUAUUCAAACAAAUAGGCGCACAGAAGUGUUCCCAGCAGCACUAUUCACAGCAGCCAAAAGGCGGAGGAGCCACAGGCCUGUCAGCUGAUGACAGAUAAAGAAAGCAUGGCCUGUCAUCCCAGCACUUUGGGAGGCCGAGGCGGGUGGAUCACCUGAGGUCAGGAGUUCAAGACCAGCCUGGCCAACAUGGUGAAACCCAGUCUCUACUAAAAAUAUAAAAAUUAGCUGGGUGUGGUGAUGAGCACCUGUAGUCCCAGCUACUUGGGAGGCUGAGGAACAAGAAUCGCUUGAACCCGGGAGGCAGAGGUUGCAGUGAACCGAGAUCAUGCCAUUGCUCUCCAGCCUGGGUAACAGAGUGAGAUUCUGUCUCUAAAUAAAUGAAUAAAUAAAUGAAGUGCGGCAUAUCCAUGUGAGGGAAUAGCAUUCAGCCCUAAAAAGGGAUGAUGCGGGGACAUGAGCGGUAACACGAAGUGCCUGAAAACCCUGCUCGGCGGGAGAAGCAGACACAGAGACCACCGGUUGCAGGAUUCCGCUGAUAGGAGAUGCACAGAGCGGGCAGCUCCAUGGAGACAGAAAGCAGAUUCCACGGUGCGGGGGCGGGGAGAGGAAAGGGAGUGACUGCUUAAUGGGCUCCAGAGCUCCUCAGGGAGGGAUGAAAGUGUCUGGGGAGUAGACAGAGGUGGCGGCUGCAGAGUGUGGCAAAUGUGCUACAUGCCACCGAACCACACUUGUUAAAGUGGUCAUUGUAUGUCAUGUGAAUUUCACCUCUGUUUAAAAAAAAAGCCCAGCUCAGAGUCCAGCCCCAAACCUCUCUCAGUGACCUCUGCCCUGGGACACAGGGCCACCCAGACCGUGAGCUUGGGGCCCUUCAGGCUGCCCACUGAGGAGGGGCAGCUACUGCUGAGGUCUGACCUUGCCUCUCCUGAUGCCCCAGCCACAGUUGGGAGAGAGGCAGGGUGGCGGGUGGCUGCCCUCCUGGCCAAGGACACCGUCCCCGGGCCAGUCACAGGUUUGCCAGGGAGGGCCAUAAGAGACCUCAGCGUUAGCACUGCCCAAGCCAGUCUGCUGCUGUCAUAUUCCCUGUGUGGGGACACAGUAAUGCCCACUCCCCCUAAGGAUGUACAUGUCCCAGUCCAAGAACCCGUGGCCGUGCCACCUUAUGUGGCAGCAGGGACUCUGCAGGAGGGACGGAGCAGGAUCACGCUGGAUGCUCUCUGUGGGCCCAGUGUCCUCACAGGGUCCUUAGGAGAGGGGGUGGGAGGGUCAGAGUCAGGGGGAGCCUGGAAGACAUAGCACAGAUGGCUUUAAAGGAGGGGCCACGGGUGAAAGCGCGGGAACCUCCAGACCCUGGAGAGGGCAGGACCCGGAUUCUCCCCAGGGCCUCCAGCAGCCAGCCCUUUCAACACAUGGACUUUAGAUUUAUUUCACUUUUGGGACUGCAAGAGAAUAAACUGUGACUUUUGUUACAGCAGCCAUGGGAGACUCAUGACCUCGCCCCUCCCUCACACAUCUUUCCAGGAGACC